AGUGAACGUUGGCGGCGUGGAUUAGGCAUGCAAGUCGUGCGGUAAGGCCCCGCAAGGGGCACACGAGCGGCGAAAGGGAGAGUAACGCGUGGAUUAUCUACCCCCGGGAUCGGGACAGCCGCGGGAAACUGCGGUUAAUACCGAAUAACGUCUCCGGACCCAAGGUGUGAUUCCGCCUGGGGAUGAGUCCGCGUCCUAUUAGCUUGUUGGUGAGGUAACGGCUCACCAAGGCCACGAUGGGUACGAGGUGUGAGAGCAUGACCUCGCUCACUGGGACUGAGACACUGCCCAGACACCUACGGGUGGCUGCAGUCGAGAAUCUUCGGCAAUGGGCGCAAGCCUGACCGAGCGACGCCGCGUGCGGGAUGAAGGCCUUCGGGUUGUAAACCGCUGUCGGAGGGGAGGAAAUGCGCGGGGGUUCUCCCUCGCGUUUGACCUAGCCUCAGAGGAGGGACGGGCUAAGUUCGUGCCAGCCGCCGCAGUAAUAC
rnacentral:rRNA from 1 species